rnacentral:rRNA from 1 species
CUACGGGGGGCUGCAGUGGGGAAUAUUGCACAAUGGGCGCAAGCCUGAUGCAGCAACGCCGCGUGAACGAUGAAGGCCUUCGGGUUGUAAAGUUCUUUUCUUAGGGAAGAAUAAAUGACGGUACCUAAGGAAUCAGCCCCGGCUAACUACGUGCCAGACAGCCGCGGUAAUACGUAGGGGGCAAGCGUUAUCCGGAAUCACUGGGCGUAAAGGGAGUGUAGGCGGUCAAGCAAGUCAGGGGUGAAAGGCAUCGGCUCAACCGAUGUAAGCCUUUGAAACUGUUUGACUUGAGUGCAGGAGAGGUAAGUGGAAUUCCUAGUGUAGCGGUGAAAUGCGUAGAUAUUAGGAGGAACACCAGUGGCGAAGGCGACUUACUGGACUGUAACUGACGCUGAGGCUCGAAAGCGUGGGGAGCGAACAGGAUUAGAUACCCGUGUAGUC